rnacentral:rRNA from 1 species
UACGUAGGGUGCGAGCGUUAAUCGGAAUUACUGGGCGUAAAGCGUGCGCAGGCGGUUUUGUAAGCCAGUUGUGAAAUCCCCGGGCUCAACCUGGGAACUGCAUCUGUGACUGCAUCGCUGGAGUGCGGCAGAGGGGGAUGGAAUUCCGCGUGUAGCAGUGAAAUGCGUAGAUAUGCGGAGGAACACCGAUGGCGAAGGCAAUCCCCUGGGCCUGCACUGACGCUCAUGCACGAAAGCGUGGGGAGCAAACAGG